UUCCAUACUCACACUUUUAAGUCCUUCUUGAUUUUGCUACAGACAUGGUACUGCAUCUGGCCUCAGAAAAUGUUUUUCCAUAUCUUUAGGUUUUACUGAAUAUACCUAGAGGCAGAAGAGAGAAGAAUCUCCAAUCAACCUGUUUCAUGUCAUAUAGAGCAAAGGUUGAGAAGCAGAAUGGUAGAUUCAGGAGUGAUAUGAAACUUCAAGAAUUCUGAAAAGCACCUAAAAAACUGACCUUCAAAAAUCAUAUUUACUUUGAUUGUCAGCUUACUGGCAGACUGUGUGGAAAUGUAUGGCGUCCUCUGGUAUUCCUAUAAUGGAUGAUGCAAACUAAUGAUGACAUUAUCUCAAAUUGUGAGAGAAGCGUGCAUAACCUUGUCUAUGUGUCCAGAAAUUAUUCCUCUGUGUCAGAAUUUCAUGUCAAAGGCUCAAAAGCAAACUGUAUAACUUAGUUCUCAGUGAAGGGAUUUCUAAGGGACAACUGAGGCCACAAGAAGAAGACUCCAAAACAAGACAAAGUACUUUAUGUCCCUUGGAAAGAUGCUGAAGGGAUCAGGAGCUCAAGCAGUGUUCUCCUCAGUCCUCCCAGUUGGAGACUAGGAACCAAGGAGGAGGUAGCAUACG